UUGUAGCAUAUGACAAAAUUUCUUUCCUUUUUAAGACUGAAUAAUCUUCCAUUGUACGUAUAUACCACACUUUGCUUAUCCAUUCGUCCAUCAGUG